rnacentral:tRNA from 1 species
GCGGCUGUGGCGGAAUUGGCAGACGCGCAUGGUUGAGGGCCAUGUGGAGAAAUCCGUGGUGGUUCGAGUCCACUCAGCCGCA